CCUACGGGGGGCAGCAGUGAGGAAUAUUGGUCAAUGGCCGAAGGGCUGAACCAGCCAAGCCGCGUGAAGGAAUAAGGCCCUACGGGUCGUAAACUUCUUUAGUCAGGGAACAAAGGCGGGGACGUGUCCCCGGAUGAGUGUACCUGAAGAAAAAGCAUCGGCUAACUCCGUGCCAGCAGCCGCGGUAAUACGGAGGAUGCGAGCGUUAUCCGGAUUUAUUGGGUUUAAAGGGUGCGCAGGCGGUCUGUUAAGUCAGCGGUCAAAGCCCGGGGCUCAACCCCGGCCCGCCGUUGAAACUGGCAGUC
rnacentral:rRNA from 1 species